GAAUGCACUAACUGUAAGUCGCUCUGGAUAAGAGCGUCUGCUAAAUGACUAAAA
rfam:Salmo salar isolate Sally breed double haploid chromosome ssa09, whole genome shotgun sequence.